GACGAACGCUGGCGGCGUGCCUAAUACAUGCAAGUAGGACGCAGUUGCGAACGGGUGAGUAACUCGUAGGUAACUACCUAUUAGAGGGGGAUAACUAUUGGAAACGCUAGCUAAUACCGCAUACUAGUAGCUGGACCUGCGUUGUAUUAGCUAGUAGGUAGGGGAAUGGCCUACCUAGGCAACGAUACAUAGCCGACCCGAGAGGGUUAUCGGGCACAAUGGGACUUGGACAAGGCCCAGGAUCCUACGGGAGGCAGCAGGAGGGGAUCUUCGGCAAUGGGGGGAAAGCUGACCGAGGACCGGCGGGGGAGUGGAGAAGGUUUUCGGAUUGUAAAGCUCUUUUGUUAAGGAAGCGGUACUUAACCAGAAAGGGCCGGCUAACUACGUGCCAGCAGCCGCGGUAAUUC
rnacentral:rRNA from 1 species